GUAGAGGAAGAAGCAAAGAGACUGCCUUGUUUUGAGAACAUGGAGCUCAACCUCAAAGCCAGGGUGCUGGAGGAGAACAUGGAAAUCAGUUCUUUCUGUUGCCUGGGGGCAGAGCCUUGUGUAUGAAUAGGAGAAAAUGGAUCUGGAAGAGAGAUACUGAAAGAAUCUUAAAAUUUGGAUAUGCACAUGAGUACACAUGCAAACUCUUGAAUUUUAACUCCCUUGUCUCCUUUUGGGGUGACUAUGGUAACAACAUUUAUCUGUGCUUGAAAUCUUGAAGCUUUCUUGGAUAUACCUGCAGAAUUGGCACAGCUUCCAGCAUUACCGCUUUUGGCUUUUAACUCUCCAAUGCCUAAUAAACCUAUGAACUCCAUUAACUGCAAUUGAUAUGCAUGCAAGGAUGUAAAGGCCUUUCCCUGGCCCUCUCACUGACUCAAACAAGAAGCCAAAAUGAGUAUGACGCCAAAUCCCAUGCAAGUAAUCAGGGAUGUUCUGAAGACACCCAGGGUAGAAGCACUGUGUCAUUCAAGCAUUCCUGAUGGCUGGAGAGCCAUCCUCAAAGUGGCACUGGCAAAGUGCGGUACUUGUCAGGAUUCCAGCCUUGAGACCACUUGGGCUGCCUGUCAGCAAACUCCAUGUUGGUGUCUGGAGCAGGUAGCAGCUGCAGGCUGUAACGUCCUCCGCUACGGCAUUCACUUCCAGGCUCACAUGCAAAUCGCCAGCAACUAUGAAGAGAAUGCUGGUUCCACCACCGGUCAGAAGAAUGAAAAUUGCAGAUACCUAUUCUGUGUGUUACUCUCCAGAAUGGUGGAUGUUAGAGACCCUACUAAGGAUUUGUGGACUCACUAACAUAGUCUCUAAAAGGUCUCUAAAGCUGGCCAGAAAAGGCAAAAACAGGUUGGGCAUGGUGGCUCACACCUGUGAUCCCAGCACUUUGUGGGGCCAAGGUGGGAGGAUCGCUUGAGGCCAGGAGUUUGAGACCAGCCUGGGCAAUGUAGGGAGACCCUGACUCUACAAAUAAUUUAAAAAUUAACUGGGCAUGGUGGCAUGUGCCUGUGGUACCACCUACUCAGGAGGCUGAAGCAGGAGGAUCACCUGAGCCUAAGAGGUCAAGGCUGCGAGGUCAAGGCUGCAGUAAGCCAUGAUCAUGCCACUGUACUCCAGCCUGAGUGACAAAGCAAGACCCAGUCCCCCCAAACAAAUGGGCAGAAACAGGCCAGAUUUAGAAAUGUUGGAAGGAGGAAGAGAGGCACCCAACGUACCAAGUUGCCUGAGGGAGCAUUCCCUCCUGCUGGAAUACUCUUAGGGUAAGUAUGGAUCCCAGAGGCACCUGGGAGCCCCUGCCUUGCAAGUCAGGGAAACUGAGGGCACUCAGGCUGAGAACUGCUGGGUUCCAUCUCCUGCCAGGGACUAGAUUUACAUGCUGGGCCCCAGCAAGUGUGGAAAGUGAAGCCAGGAAUCCCCCUUACCCAUAGACUUGCUGCCCCAACCCAUGGCAAAUGACAAACUCCAAGCCCAGGGAUGCACUAGGUCCCCUGAUUGGGGGUAAGCAAAAUGUUCACCCUGCCCAGUUGCCCACAGAAUGUGCUGUGGCCCUGUCAUGCCCCACCCUCACCCUCCUAGGCCUCCUGAGGGUGGCAGAAGUGGUCAGAAGGGAGCCACAUUAUCACAUGCAGGGAGUGGGGAGAGUGAGGCCAAGUGAGGCUGGGUGCACCAGGAGUGGAGGGCACCUCGCAGGUGAGGGCCUGUCCUGGCCAAUGCAAGGAGACUGUAGGAGGUGGGCCUCGAAUGAGCCAAGGCUCCAAGUUCCCCAUUUCCUUUCCCCCUCCCCAACCCCAGGCACCACCAUCUUAUUUUACUCCAGUUACAAAACAUGUAUUCAGAGAAAAAGUUAUUAAAAAUCUCAUGGCAGCAACUGGAGAGUAGUAAAUCACAAGCACAGGGGCUUCUGUGCACAGGGCCCUGGGGGCGGCACUGGUGCUGGCCCAUGAGGCCGGUGGCCGUGUGAUGAAUGGGGUGCACCAGGUAACAAUAUGCUGUAUGAAGGUAACCAGCCCACGUCAUUUGUGUUUGGGAUCCCUUGUCUAUUUGGGAAGAAUUGGAGACUUAAGAAUUUUAUUUAAUAAAAUAUGGCCACAGAGUUUGGUCAAACAUCUUAUUGAAGCAAUUUGCUGGGCUGCUUUAUUAGAAUCAAGGGCUCUAAAACAUAGAACUUUUCACGCUCUCCAUAUUAUAUGGUUUGGCUGUGUCCCCACUCAAAUCUCAUUUGUUGUGGAAGGGACCUGGUGGGAGAUAAUUGAAUCAUGGGGGUAGUUUCCCCCAUACUGUUCUCAUGGUAGUGAAUAAAUCUCAGGAGAUCUGAUGGUUUUUUAUAUGGGGUUUCCCCUUUCACUUGGCUUUCAUUCUCUCUUGCCUGCCGCCAUGUAAGACAUGACUUUCACCUUCUGCCAUGAUUGUGAGACCUCCACAGUCACAUGGAAUAGUGAGUCCAUUAAACUUCUUUUUCUUUAUAAAUUACCCAGUCUUGGGUAUGUCUUCAUCAGCAAGCAGCGUGAAACACAGACUAAUACACUAAAGCACAUAAGAAUGCAGUUUCUUACAGAUAUGGAAAAACAUCUGAAUAUUCUGAACUUGAAACUGUAAGAUAAAAGUAUAAGCCUUAGUGAUUUGUUUAAGAGUGUGUAGGUACUGAGAAUUCCACUGGAUAGCUUGGCAACUGAAUUUCACAUUUUACCUCCAUUUCUCAUUGUUAUCUUCCCUAGAAUCAAUGAAAUUGCCAAUUAUAUUUGUGUGUAUAGUCAUUUAAAGUAGAUGUAUUUCAAAGAGAUUCACAAACAGUCAUAUAUAUGAAUCAUGUUUUAAGUUUUUGUUGCUGCCUUUGGAGAACCAGCUUCAGGGGAAGCAGAGUUUCAGUACUUAGAGCAAUCCAUGCCAUAUAGUAAGUGCCCAACUAAUGAUGAAUGAAAUUUCGUGAAGCUGCUCUUCCACACAGUUCAGUCGGUUCAGCCUAUCAAGGAUCACCAAGGAGAUACUCUAUGGACCCCAGAGCCAUCCUGACAUUUCUGGCCUUGUGGGUAAAUUCAGGCCAACAUUUGGAUCAUAAUCUUUUAAAUGAAGCCACUAAAAUAAAAGCCAGGUGCUUCCUUUGGUGGUUCAAACCCAGAGUCAGAAACAAGAUGUAAAAAGAUCAAAGCACAAACUGUCACAGUGGAUGAUAAGUUGGGAGUAGGACCCAGGAGCUUUCUCUUUUGAUUUAAAUUGUUGUAAUAUUCCCUCCAAUCUCCCACCUUAUUUUUAUUUUUUGCAGGUGCUACAUCUGUACAAAUGAAUCCAAUGUUUCCAUGUGAGUCCAAAGUUCUCAAAUUCUUCACUGGCAGCAUUAUACAUUUUGGUGUAAAGUCUAUUUUCAUGGUUUAAAAAGUCAGACUAUUUUCCUGGGACAUUUGAUGAUAGAGAAUAAUUCAAUUUGCCAAAUAAUAUUGUUUUAAUUGACUUGCUCCCCAAACUGACUCUUGUCUAGCAAUUACACUUAUAGGUAUAAUUGUAUUUUUGUAUAAGUCUGAUUGAACAACCUUUGAAAUAUUUAUGCACAUUUAAAAUAAGAGGCUAUGUUUCACCAAUGGUUAUCAAUAAAAAAUUCACGCAUACAUGAUAAUUCCUGAUCCUGCAGUCCUCUUCUGAUUAAAAAAUGCCAUUUGAGUGUCUACUAUGUGUGAUAAACAUUACAGAUGAUAUCUCAUUUACCCUUCACUGAAGCCCUAUGAGAGACAUUAUAUUACUUCCCCCAAGUUCCCAUAGGCUCAGAGAAGUUAAACUAGUUACCCAGAGUCACACAGCUAAUGUGUAAUAGGGAGGAUAUAAAUAGUAGUC
rnacentral:lncRNA from 1 species